rnacentral:snRNA from 1 species
GGAUGUGAGGGCGAUCUGGCUGCGACAUCUGUCAUCCCAUUGAUCACCAGGGUUGAUUCAGCUGAUCUGGCUGGCUAGGCUGGUGUCCCCUUCCUCCCUCACCACUCCAUGUGUGUCCCUCCUAAAGCUGCGCACUAGGUCGAAGAGGAAGGCCUUCCCCCAAAUAGAGACCAACCAGUCUUUGGUCGAGGGUAUUCGAGUAGCUGCGCUCCCCUGCUAGAACCUCCAAACAAGCUCUCAAGGAGAAGUAUAUUGGGGACAGGUGGUGGCAUACCUGGCUGAGCACACAUGUUACAAUGCACAAGGA